UGCUUCUUCUUUCUCCUUUAAAUUGUAGGAUUUUGUGGGAAUAAACAGAUGAUGCUUUCUCGAGAAAUACGGUCACAGCAGCUCUAUAUUGAGCUGGGUAAUUUUUGUAAUGACCUAAGUGUGGGGAGCCAUUGAAUUUCACAAGCUGAACAUCAGCCCCUAAUUCUUGAAUACUCUGGGUGAAAUUACAGAUAACUUCAUACCGAG
rnacentral:misc_RNA from 1 species